rnacentral:rRNA from 1 species
AAGCGACUAAGCGUACACGGUGGAUGCCCUGGCAGUCAGAGGCGAUGAAGGACGUGCUAAUCUGCGAUAAGCGCCGGUAAGGUGAUAUGAACCGUUAUAACCGGCGAUUUCCGAAUGGGGAAACCCAGUGUGAUUCGUCACACUAUCAUUAACUGAAUCCAUAGGUUAAUGAGGCGAACCGGGGGAACUGAAACAUCUAAGUACCCCGAGGAAAAGAAAUCAACCGAGAUUCCCCCAGUAGCGGCGAGCGAACGGGGAGGAGCCCAGAGCCUGAAUCAGCAUGUGUGUUAGUGGAAGCGUCUGGAAAGGCGCGCGAUACAGGGUGACAGCCCCGUACACAAAAGCGCAUGUGCUGUGAGCUCGAUGAGUAGGGCGGGACACGUGGUAUCCUGUCUGAAUAUGGGGGGACCAUCCUCCAAGGCUAAAUACUCCUGACUGACCGAUAGUGAACCAGUACCGUGAGGGAAAGGCGAAAAGAACCCCGGCGAGGGGAGUGAAAAAGAACCUGAAACCGUGUACGUACAAGCAGUGGGAGCNNNNNNNNNNNNNNNNNNNNNNNNNNNNGGCGUUAAGUUGCAGGGUAUAGACCCGAAACCCGGUGAUCUAGCCAUGGGCAGGUUGAAGGUUGGGUAACACUAACUGGAGGACCGAACCGACUAAUGUUGAAAAAUUAGCGGAUGACCUGUGGCUGGGGGUGAAAGGCCAAUCAAACCGGGAGAUAGCUGGUUCUCCCCGAAAGCUAUUUAGGUAGCGCCUCGUGAAUUCAUCUCCGGGGGUAGAGCACUGUUUCGGCUAGGGGGCCAUCCCGGCUUACCAACCCGAUGCAAACUGCGAAUACCGGAGAAUGUUAUCACGGGAGACACACGGCGGGUGCUAACGUCCGUCGUGAAGAGGGAAACAACCCAGACCGCCAGCUAAGGUCCCAAAGUCAUGGUUAAGUGGGAAACGAUGUGGGAAGGCCCAGACAGCCAGGAUGUUGGCUUAGAAGCAGCCAUCAUUUAAAGAAAGCGUAAUAGCUCACUGGUCGAGUCGGCCUGCGCGGAAGAUGUAACGGGGCUAAACCAUGCACCGAAGCUGCGGCAGCGANNNNNNNNUGCUGGAGGUAUCAGAAGUGCGAAUGCUGACAUAAGUAACGAUAAAGCGGGUGAAAAGCCCGCUCGCCGGAAGACCAAGGGUUCCUGUCCAACGUUAAUCGGGGCAGGGUGAGUCGACCCCUAAGGCGAGGCCGAAAGGCGUAGUCGAUGGGAAACGGGUUAAUAUUCCCGUACUUGGUGUUACUGCGAAGGGGGGACGGAGAAGGCUAUGUUGGCCGGGCGACGGUUGUCCCGGUUUAAGCGUGUAGGUGUGUGUUCCAGGUAAAUCCGGUUCACUUUAACACUGAGGCGUGACGACGAGGCACUACGGUGCUGAAGCAACAAAUGCCCUGCUUCCAGGAAAAGCCUCUAAGCAUCAGGUAACAUCAAAUCGUACCCCAAACCGACACAGGUGGUCAGGUAGAGAAUACCAAGGCGCUUGAGAGAACUCGGGUGAAGGAACUAGGCAAAAUGGUGCCGUAACUUCGGGAGAAGGCACGCUGACACGUAGGUGAAGUGAUUUACUCACGGAGCUGAAGUCAGUCGAAGAUACCAGCUGGCUGCAACUGUUUAUUAAAAACACAGCACUGUGCAAACACGAAAGUGGACGUAUACGGUGUGACGCCUGCCCGGUGCCGGAAGGUUAAUUGAUGGGGUCAGCGCAAGCGAAGCUCCUGAUCGAAGCCCCGGUAAACGGCGGCCGUAACUAUAACGGUCCUAAGGUAGCGAAAUUCCUUGUCGGGUAAGUUCCGACCUGCACGAAUGGCGUAAUGAUGGCCAGGCUGUCUCCACCCGAGACUCAGUGAAAUUGAACUCGCUGUGAAGAUGCAGUGUACCCGCGGCAAGACGGAAAGACCCCGUGAACCUUUACUAUAGCUUGACACUGAACAUUGAGCCUUGAUGUGUAGGAUAGGUGGGAGGCUUUGAAGUGUGGACGCCAGUCUGCAUGGAGCCGACCUUGAAAUACCACCCUUUAAUGUUUGAUGUUCUAACGUGGACCCGUAAUCCGGGUUGCGGACAGUGUCUGGUGGGUAGUUUGACUGGGGCGGUCUCCUCCUAAAGAGUAACGGAGGAGCACGAAGGUUGGCUAAUCCUGGUCGGACAUCAGGAGGUUAGUGCAAUGGCAUAAGCCAGCUUGACUGCGAGCGUGACGGCGCGAGCAGGUGCGAAAGCAGGUCAUAGUGAUCCGGUGGUUCUGAAUGGAAGGGCCAUCGCUCAACGGAUAAAAGGUACUCCGGGGAUAACAGGCUGAUACCGCCCAAGAGUUCAUAUCGACGGCGGUGUUUGGCACCUCGAUGUCGGCUCAUCACAUCCUGGGGCUGAAGUAGGUCCCAAGGGUAUGGCUGUUCGCCAUUUAAAGUGGUACGCGAGCUGGGUUUAGAACGUCGUGAGACAGUUCGGUCCCUAUCUGCCGUGGGCGCUGGAGAACUGAGGGGGGCUGCUCCUAGUACGAGAGGACCGGAGUGGACGCAUCACUGGUGUUCGGGUUGUCAUGCCAAUGGCACUGCCCGGUAGCUAAAUGCGGAAGAGAUAAGUGCUGAAAGCAUCUAAGCACGAAACUUGCCCCGAGAUGAGUUCUCCCUGAGACUUAGAGUCUCCUGAAGGAACGUUGAAGACGACGACGUUGAUAGGCCGGGUGUGUAAGCGCAGCGAUGCGUUGAGCUAACCGGUACUAAUGAACCGUG